rnacentral:rRNA from 1 species
AGAUGUGGUCCCGUCGUUGUUGGCUGUUGAAUUUGUGCUGCAGUCCAUGCCCACCACGUCCGUGUCUUCGCCCCUUUGUCAUCCAACACAAACAGCAGAACGGAGCAACAACCGCGGUUUGCGAGGUCAGAGAACUGCCGCAGCUUGCUGCCAUGUACAGCUCGCCCUUCUUCUAUGCCAAAAGCCCCUCGAUUGAAGCUCCAACUCAAUUGCAAAUCAAAAUUACCAACCCAGAUAAUCUCUCCGGAACAACGCCUAGCUCGCCGUGCUCCACUCACUCUAACAGCAUAUCUCAUAACCGAAGGCAUGAACAAGUGCUUCAGUAUUGCUGGUGGCAAUCCAUUGCUUGAGGUGACAUCGUGUGCAAGAUUAUCCCCAUGGAGGGCGCUGGCACGGUGACACCCUCCUCGACCUGUUGAUCCCAUGACUUAG